AACCUGACAAAAAGAUGAAAGAAGUCUUCGAAGGAGAAUUCCCUCGUGAAGAAUCAUGGACCAAUCCGACAGUAGGCCUACGACUACGUGCAUAUGAGAUGGAGAUUCCAGGAGCAAGGGGGCAUUGGGCGGAGAGGAUUCAUCAUAAGCGAGCUAACACUCCAAGUGUUAGAAGUGACUCGUUUAGCAGUUUCAGCACGUUUCUAGAGGAGGAGGAGGGUCGCUUUCCGAAAC